UACGGGGGGGGCAAGCGUUGUUCGGAAUUACUGGGCGUAAAGGGCUCGUAGGUGGCCAACUAAGUCAUACGUGAAAUCCCUCGGCUUAACCGGGGAACUGCGUCUGAUACUGGAUGGCUUGAGAUUGGGAGAGGGAUGCGGAAUUCCAGGUGUAGCGGUGAAAUGCGUAGAUAUCUGGAGGAACACCGGUGGCGAAGGCGGCAUCCUGGGCUAACACUGACGCUCAUGCACGAAAGCGUGGGGAGCAAACAGG
rnacentral:rRNA from 1 species